UUAAUUUGUGAGCUUUUUUACUGUGUCAAAUGAAGGUGUUACCACUGAGGAUUAUGGUGUUUUCCAUUUUGUCUUCGAUAUGUUGUGCCAGCACGGUCAUUUUUCUCUCUUUUUUCAGAUGGAUUUUUGUCUUUAUGGGGCUCAACCAGCCACCACAAGUCAUCUGUAGCCGCCAAGCAGCCACACAAGAAGCGAGUGUUCUCAACAUGUGCGGCCUUAGAUGGUGAAAUGUUGAAGAGGCUCAUCCAAAAAGAUGAGCAGCGGAGGAUCAGGGAACAGCGAAACUCUAGAAAAGGUUGGCUGAGGGCAUGGGGUGCUCUGCAGGACUGGAUGCAUCAGCUGUUCAGGAUCAUUGUGGCCUUCACAGAAGACCCCAUGUUUGACAAGUUCAUCCUGUUUGUGGUGGUGCUCAACACAGGGACCCUGGUGGCCCAGACAUUUGAAAGUGUGACUGUGAGAGGAGGUGUG